GACGAACGCUGGCGGCGUGCUUAACACAUGCAAGUCGAACGGAAAGGCUCCAGCUUGCUGGAGUACUCGAGUGGCGAACGGGUGAGUAACACGUGGGUAAUCUGCCCUGCACUCUGGGAUAAGCCUGGGAAACUGGGUCUAAUACUGGAUAUGACCUUUCUCCUUAUGGGGUUUGGUGGAAAGUUUUUCGGUGUAGGAUGAGCCCGCGGCCUAUCAGCUUGUUGGUGGGGUGAUGGCCUACCAAGGCGACGACGGGUAGCCGGCCUGAGAGGGUGAUCGGCCACAUUGGGACUGAGAUACGGCCCAGACUCCUACGGGAGGCAGCAGUGGGGAAUAUUGCACAAUGGGCGGAAGCCUGAUGCAGCGACGCCGCGUGAGGGAUGACGGCCUUCGGGUUGUAAUCCUCUUUCAGCAGGGACGAAGCGUAAGUGACGGUACCUGCAGAAGAAGCACCGGCUAACUAUGUG
rnacentral:rRNA from 1 species